GUGCUGGCUUAGGUAGCACAUAGACUAAAAUUGGGACAAUACAGAGCAGAUUGGCAUGGCCACUGCAUAAGGAUGACAUGCAAUUUUGUUAAGCUUUACACACACAC